AGGGUUUGAUCAUGGCUCAGAGUGAAGGCUAUAAGUCUGCUUGAAUACAUGCGAGUCGAAUGAUUAAGAUCAUGGCGUACGGGUGAGUAAUGGGCUAAUAUCUACCUUCAACUUUGGGAUAAUCCUAUCCCCCUGGGGAGAAGGCAACAGGAAAAUACCAAAUAAUUCAAAGGUACGCCGGUUGGAGAUGAUUAGGCUUAGUAUUAGGUAGUUGGUAAGACAAAGCUUACCAAGCCUUUGAUGCUUAAUUGGUCUGAUAGGACGAUCAAUCACACUGGGACUGAGACAAGGCCCAGGUUUCAUUUGAAGGCAGCAGUAAGGAAUAUUGCACAAUGAGCGAAAGCUUGAUGCAGCAAGACUUGGUGAGGGAUAGAAGGCUUAGGUUGUAAACCUCUUUUUUAACUGAGGAUAAUGACAUUAGGUUAAGAAUAAGUCCCGACUAACUUCGUGCCAGCAGUCGCGGUAAUACGGAGGGGGCAAGCCUUAUUCGUCAUAACUGGGCGUAAAGGGCCCGUAGGUGGCUUUCUGAUAAGUUAUUUGUUAAAGACUAUAGCUUAACUAUAGAAAAGCACUUAAAACAAGAAAGCUAGAGUCUGACAGAGGGAAAUGGAAUUUUUUAAUUAGUGUUAAACUCCAGAGAAGUAAAAGAGAACAUCAGCUGCGAAGGCGAAUUCCUUGUUCAGUACUGACGCUGAGGGGCGAAGGCGUAGGUAGCGAACAGGAUUUGAGACCCUGGUAGUCUACGCUGUCAACGAUGAGUGCUAGUUUUUAGAAAUCUAGAAAGUAUAGCUAAGGCAUUAAGCACUCCGCCUGAGGAGUACGAGCGCAAGCUUAAAAAUCAACGGAAUUGGCGGGGGUUCAAACAAGUGGUGGAGCAUGUGGUUUAAUGCGAUAAUACGCGC
rnacentral:rRNA from 1 species